AACUGGGGACCUGGCCCACAACUCAGGCAUGUGCUCUGACUCACAUUGAACCAGCAACCUCCUGGUUCGCAGCCCAGCGCUCAAAUCCACUGAAUCGUACCAGCCAGGGCAACAAGGUUUUAUUGGGUAUUUUCCUGUGGGAUGUAUUCACAUAGGGGAAUAUCUUUCUCUAUAGCCAUGAAAAAUCCCAUUUUUAUUAACUUAGACUUCCAAUUUGUGACUAAAAUCAUGAUCAUAUAUAAACAUUUUCUUAACUAGUAUGAAGCAAGAGUAGUGUUUUAUUUAACUAUUUACUUAAAAUUCUUAGAGGGUGGUUUUUAGGCGUACCCAUCCAUUUAUUAAGCAGUCAAGAGGUUAAAUUAGUCAAAACCACACAACUUAACUCAUGCCUUUUAAAAUACCGUGAAGUUUGGUCACUUUAAAAUUCUUUUCCACUGGGUUAAAGGAGAAGAUCAGUACUGUCAGGUAUAGUAACUGGCAAAAAAGGAGCUCAACUGCAGUUUGUAAACAUUGUAAAGGGGAAAAUAUUUUCUUAAGUGUGAAAUUUUACAUUGUUGAAGAUCUCAUGCUAUUAUCAAGCACUUUUUAAUAGAAUUUGGAGACACAUUCCUGUGUAGAUGUUCUUAAGGGAUUAAUCUCAUCAGGAAUCUUUAAAUAUGCAAAUUUCAGUUGGGGGUUAAUAGAUAGUGAAAGGUUAAUGUAUUUUUAGAAGGCUAAUGCUGUUUUUAUCAGUUAAUCACUAGUUUGAAAAUUUUGUCUUGUAUCGAUCAAAAUAUUACCGAAACAAAUUGUUUGCAUGUGAACCUAUUGAUUAUAACUAUUUAUAUAUUUUGCUAUUUUUUCCCCAUGAAGAAAUCUCAUACCCUUUUUAUAUUACUAAUUCAAGGUCAUGAAUAUUUUGCUAUUGUUUAUAUACCUGAAUUGGUUUGGUCAGAAGGACAUGGGUAUACUUCUGGCUAGUUAUGGUCUAACUAAAUAUUUUUGGUUAGAUAUGGUAUAUAUUUAGUAUUUGCUUGUCAUACUGAAACUUUUCAUGCUUCCUGUUAAAUAGAACCUUACCAAAUUAAUUAUAUUUAAAUACAAGCUGUGGACAGUUUGAUCUAUUUAAAUGCAACCAAUAGUAAACACUACAGGGCAUAUUGAACUUUUUAAAUCAUGAAGAAUAAUAUAGGUAUUAUGUUAGUUGUAAUGUCAUUUCUAUUUGACUUUCCAAAAUGUGGUGGGUGGGGGGGGCGGUAUAGAUGAGACCAUCUGUUGCAUUUGUCAAAAUAAUUUUGAAGUAACUCCUAGUCGUUAUUUUAGUUUCCUGAUUAAACUGUUUUGGUCAUAAUUCACCAUUCAACAGUUUUUCUCAAACUUUACUUUGGGUGGGAGUCCCUGGGGGAUUCUGUUAAAAAGCAGAUUCUGAUUCAAAAGAUUUGAAAUGGGGCAAGAUUCUGCAUUUUCAACAAGCUCAUAGAUGAUGCUAGUGGCCGUGACUACGCUUGGAGUAAGAGUCACAGGUUGCUCAUCUCACAUGUGGGGGAAUUUUACAGAGUAGACCUUAGUAAAAAAGAUGCCAGCAAUAGACAUUGGCAGUGCUUUGCAGGAUCAGGGUGUUCAAGUUGGAUCUAGUUAGAGGUUAUCAAUACUUUGGUAAACCCCCCCCCCCCCCCAAAACUAAUAGUGUAUUGGAUCCCAAGAAAAGGUUAGGAGCAUAGUCUGCAAAAAAAUGAAUUUAGAAAAACAGGCUUUAAUAGUUUUAGGGAGUUGGUAAAAAAAAAUAUAACAGGAAGAAAAAAGCUUUUAAAAAACCAGAUCACUGAGGAAAUGGCAUGUUUAUUUAGACAUUAGUUCAGAAAACAGUUUAUAACAAAAGUCAUAGAAAAUGAAAAUGAUUUCUGAAAGCCCAGAAAGGGAAGGUUAAUAGGAUACUAAAAAUACCCACGUGGGUGUUUUUUUUUAAUUUCUGCAAAAAGCAGUUGACAUUCAUUAAUUAGAUCAAAGUAAGUCUUGGUGAAAAGGUAAGGAGAUUAAGGAGGAACAAGAUUGGAUAACUUAAAAAUAACAUGGAUUAAAGUAAAAAGAUGGGGAAUGGCAGGUAUAUCCAUUUUUAUAUAAAGGGGCUAGAAGGUAGUCCCUGAUAACUGAAAUCUUAUUUUCAUCUCUAAAACUUUAAUUUGAAAAAUAAAAUAGAUGGAAGUAUGGAAAACAAAUACUCUGCUCUUUCCCAAUGGUAGGGUAAUAUCUACUAACUGGUAUACUGUGUACCAGGCACUGUGCUAAGGAAUUGCUUUGCAUUCCGUGUGUUAUGUAAUGAUCAGCUUUCUAAAAUAGGUGACAUUAUUCCUACUUUAUAUGUGAAGAAAUUAGAGAUUGAGUUAAGUCAGUUGUUAUAUAAUAUCUAUAAUGUGGCAAAGCCAGGGUUUGAACCCUGUUUUGCCUGACUCUAGUAUAUACUCUCAACUACUGGAUCAGAAAUA